UUAAUUCAAGUCUGUGAGUUGAUUAAAGUUAAUGUGAUUUGAGCAUGACUGCACAUGAGAGCUGGGUAAGCAAUCUAGGAAGCUAAUAUUAUUUUUCUUAAUUUAGCAUCCUGCACAUGGAGAGAAAAAGAGGAAAAGAAAAGAUCACCAACUUUUUCCAAGGAUCAUGCCAAAUGUAGACAUGCUAUUCGACCAGCUGCAGAAGAGGAACAUCGACCCGGUCUAUAUUAAAGCAGCUGUCCAGGGAUUCACAAACAACAUGCAAGCAAUCAGGGACUCAAUCCCCUUUCUUUGUGGGGACAGUGCAUCAUCUGACCAGCAGCACCAGCCCAAAAAGCAAC